GCCAUGCUGGUGUAGCGGUUUGAGUGUUGGAUUGUGACUCCGGAGACCAGGGUUCAAAUCCCUAUUUGGCC
rnacentral:tRNA from 1 species